rnacentral:rRNA from 1 species
UACACUCCUGCGGGAGGCAGCAGUGGGGAAUAUUGGACAAUGGGCGCAAGCCUGAUCCAGCCAUGCCGCGUGAGUGAUGAAGGCCCUAGGGUUGUAAAGCUCUUUCACCGGAGAAGAUAAUGACGGUAUCCGGAGAAGAAGCCCCGGCUAACUUCGUGCCAGCAGCCGCGGUAAUACGAAGGGGGCUAGCGUUGUUCGGAAUUACUGGGCGUAAAGCGCACGUAGGCGGAUCGAUCAGUCAGGGGUGAAAUCCCAGGGCUCAACCCUGGAACUGCCUUUGAUACUGUCGAUCUGGAGUAUGGAAGAGGUGAGUGGAAUUCCGAGUGUAGAGGUGAAAUUCGUAGAUAUUCGGAGGAACACCAGUGGCGAAGGCGGCUCACUGGUCCAUUACUGACGCUGAGGUGCGAAAGCGUGGGGAGCAAACAGGAUUAGAUACCCGGGUAGUCCCAUGAU